rnacentral:rRNA from 1 species
GUGUCAGCAGCCGCGGUAAUACGUAGGGGGCAAGCGUUGUCCGGAUUUAUUGGGCGUAAAGAGCGUGUAGGCGGCCAGACAGGUCUGCUGUGAAAACUCGAGGCUCAACCUCGAGACGCCGGUGGAAACCGUUUGGCUAGAGUCCGGAAGAGGAGAGUGGAAUUCCUGGUGUAGCGGUGAAAUGCGCAGAUAUCAGGAAGAACACCCGUGGCUAAGGCGGCUCUCUAGUACGGUACUGACGCUGAGACGCGAAAGCGUGGGGAGCGAACAGGAUUAGAUACCCCCGUAGUCC